UACGAUUUAUGACGUAUUAAAAAAAACUACUUACUAGAUCUCGUUCAAACUAAUUUUCGGUGGAAGUUGGCAUGACAAUAAUUUAAGUAAGUAAAUAUUCUUUAUUGUGCACCAUACAGUUA